GAUGGGAUAAUUUAAUGGUUAAAAUGUUGUACUACGGAUACGAUUAUGAUAGUUCGAAUCUAUCUCUCAUUA
rnacentral:tRNA from 1 species